CAGCACUUAGAGAGCUUCCAGAUAGCCGAACAUAUGGGUGCUCCUGGAAGGUAGAGUGCCCAGGAAGGACAUGGAGACUCUCUACUCCUUCCCCCAUACCUUGCCCUACACAUCUCUUCAUUGGCACGGUGGCUCACGCCUGUAAUCGCAGCACUUUGGGAGACCAAAGCAGAUGAAUCACCUGAGGUCAAGAGUUCAAGACCAGCCUGGCCAACACGAAAGAAGCUCUCACAGUGGAAGACUAUAAUAUGACAUAAGAAGAAAUGUGGACUUGGAGAUACAGAAGAGACAGGGUCUCGCUCUGUUACCCAGGCUGGAGUGUAGUGGCACGAUCUAAGGUCACUGCAACCUCCGCCUCUGGGGUUCAAGCCUCCCACCUCAGCCUACCAAGCAACUGGGACUACAGACAGGGUCUCAUUCCUGUUGCUCAGGCUGGAGUACAGUGGCAUGAUCUUGGCUCACUGCAGCUUCGACCUCCCGGGCUCAGGUGAUUCUCCCACCUCAGCCUCCCAAGCAACUGGAACUACCCAGCUAGUCCUACCAUGACCGGUUAGUUUUUUGUAUUUUUAAUAGAGACAUGGUUUCACCACAUUGCCCAGGCUAGUCCUGAACUCCCGGACUCAAGCAGUCCACCCACCUAGGCCUCCUAAAGUGCUAGAAUUACAGGCGUGAGCCACUGUGCCCAGCCUGUUACAUCUACAUUAGAUAUAUACAUAUAUAAUUAUUUAUAUAUUUUAUAUAUGUAAUUAUUUCCUAAUGAAAUAACAGACAACAUGGUAAUCAAACAAGGAAAGAAAGAAGUAUAUGUGAAAGUAUAAAAACCCUCAGAAAACACAUCAGAUGAGUCAGUAAAACUAGUUGUGAAUAGUCACACAUGCCUGUAAUCCCAGCUACUUGGAAGGCUGAGGUAGGAGGAUUGCUUGAGCUCAGGAGUUUGAGACCAGCCUGGGCAACACGCAUGACACCAUCUCAAGAAAAAAAAAAUUGUUGUGGAAUACCAGAUUAAUAAAUACUACUUUUUAAGCAUAAUCCUUGCAUUUCAGUUCCUAAAAUAGUCAAACAGUGGUAGACAUACUCUAAAUCUUCAAAACAAUAAGUGAGUCAUAAAUCUCUUUACUGUAAGUUCUCACAGUCCCUUGCACUUUCAAAAACCUCCUCACAUUUGCAUUUACAUUUUUAAUGCCUAUCUUCCUAGGGAAUAUUCUCUCAAGUACUUGGUGAAGUAUAUGAACUGUUAAUUGUCUUAUUAACUGCAGAUCCCCAGUGCGAAGUCAGUGCCAAAAACAAGUCAUUAUUUAGGUAAAUACAUAGUCAUUGAAUUAUUGAAUAAUAUAUAAAUAUUGAAUUGAAUGAAACAUUCCUUUUUCAGAAAUAAAGU
rnacentral:lncRNA from 1 species